UCGCUCCUACCGAUUUCGAGUGAUCCGGUGAACCUUUUGGACGGCGCGCCCAGCGCGCGGGAAAUCAAGUAAACCAUAUCACUUAGAGGAAGGAG
rnacentral:rRNA from 1 species